rnacentral:piRNA from 1 species
UGGAAGAUGCCCUAGAGAGGAGAGGGGUU